rnacentral:lncRNA from 1 species
GGUGAAAGUCUCUUCUGGACACGCUCUGUCAGCCAACUUCGACAGCUGAAAACUGCCACUUCUGCAGUUAAUAUCACCACGACUUUUUCAUGAAAGUUGUUCGAAAUUUCGUCCUCUAUACUGUGCUCGAAAAUCAUGAUAAUCCAACGGUUAAUUAGUUCUCAAUCAAGUCCUCUUUCAAAUUCAGUUUCUACUCAGAUUGGGUCAUGUUUCUCCAUCGACAUUGAGUUAAUUUCAUGAAGUUUACAUAUCCAUCUUGAGUUCACACACAAUUGAUUUUACAAUUGUUGGUCUUGCAGGUACUGUGCACGAGGAUU